GAGCGAGAUGCUCAGAUGUGAUACUUGUUGCCUUAACUAAAACAGACAAACAGACCUCUAAUGCUUCAGAGAUCUUCAGAAUAUGGCAUUUAAAUUGUUAUCUUUAAAGUUUAUAAUGUCAGACAGACUGCCAGAUCCGGACAGUGACCCAAAGUCUCCAAAGAAGAUUACGAGGCACCUCAGUUCCUGCACCUGGACCAGUGAGCGAGAUGCUCAGAUGUGAUACCUGCCGCCUGCCAGAACCUGGCCGAGACUGUGGACAAAGCUGCUGGACACUGGAAAAUUGAUUGCACCCCUUUGCCUAGACAAAACAAGGUCAGUCUUUUCCAUGUCCGUCUUCCACAGAGAGAAAAAAACUCUCACAGUAUAGGCUUGGCGAGGAUUGCUGGUCUUUGAGACACCUGCCUCCAGCGGUUUCUGCUUCUGGCUGACAUCUGAGUAUCAGUUGCUGACUACAGGCUGUUCUAAGUAGACUGCGAGCCCUGGACUUGCUGUGGAUGUGAACCAGUCAGCUGAUGUGGACACCCCCUGUCUCUGCAACAGUGUCUGCUAACCAGAAGCCCCUGAUGGAUUCCCCAUUGCCUAAAUUCCUUUUUGCUUUUGAC
rnacentral:lncRNA from 1 species